rnacentral:lncRNA from 1 species
UGGGACUGAGCACCUGAACCUACAUUAUAACACAAUGUAGCAUAUAGCCAUAUAUGUGUAUCAGUACUUUGAAAUGUACUGAAUAUGCGGAGGUGAAUGCAUAUGUAUAAAAAUAGUACCGAUCUUCUUCAAUAAAAUCAUGUAUGCAAAUGAGAUGGCUCACAUAGCUUGAACUAGUAUAAAAUAUAAAACUCAUAAAUCAUGUAGAAUGAAGCAUGCAACACAA